CUUCUAUUGUUUGGAUAUUGAUAGCCUGGAUAAAUGCUGUGAUUUUCUUAACUUUUUUUUUCUAUUGUAUAUUACUUUUAAUUUUCUCUUCCAAGAGAUUGUCUUAUUUUUAAUGUUCCAAUACUUUUGUUUAAUUGUUAUUUCUGAUAUUAUUAUUAUUUCCAUGAGGUAUCUUUUGUUCUGUGACAUUGUUGUGGUAUCUUUUAAUUGAUGUAAAAGAUGUAGUAUCUUAUUUUCUCUCUCUAAAGAAAGCAAUUUUUUUACAUUCUUCCAUAUUAUCUUCUUUUCCUAUGACUUCAGUAUAUUUUUCUUUUUUCCCUUUAAUUUUCAUUUUAAUGACUGGUGGUAUCAACAUUAAUGUUCCUAUUUAAGAGCGAGGCGCUCAAAGGCUGAUUAGUUCUCUGCUGGAAGGCUUGUAACCAGUAGUCUUCACAAAUGCAAUGGUUAGAUAGCAAGGCAGCCAUCUCAGCUGGAAGCCCCCAAAUAUAAGUCUCUGGAGAUUUUUUCCUUGGAUUGCACAGUUUCUGUACUCUCUUGCUUAAAUGAUAUAGUCUGGUUUCAAACACUGUGGGAUGAGGACAUUGGAGGGAGCCGUGUGUGGAGUUGCUUUUAAUCCUCUGUUUCAGUCCAUUUUCAGGUUUGCUUCUUGCUUAUGUCUGCAAGUCGAGUCACUGUGGUCCGGUUCCUCUGGACCCUGAGACCUGUUUCCAUUCUUGGUUUGGGAUACUUAUGUGCCUAGCUGAGAAAAGGAAGAAGUAUUUCAUUCUUCAGGCUUCAAACAAUCAUGGAUGAUUAUGGAAAAAAAAAGACACUCUUUGGAUUUCUAUUGAUGAGAAUUUUACUCUGUAACUGAAGGAAAGGCUAGCCACAUCGUUCUUCCUCUGAAAAGGUUUUUAAUGCCAAUGUCCAAAGAUUACCGAGUGAUUCCAUGGAUGUCAACAGUGCAUUUAAAGUUUCCUGCAGAGAGGAAAUAUGCAGAUCACAAUGAAGGGCAAUGCUCAGGAAGCUGUUUUCAAGGAGAUCCAGGGCUAGGAGAAAAAGUCUUCAAAAAAUGUCUACCUAAAACAAAAGACCCUUUCCAGCUUAUGACUAUGAAGAGAGCUGUGACAAUGGAAGACAAGUCAGAGAGAUGCAUUAUUGCUGGCUGUGAAGAUAAUGAGAGACGUGCCUUCCCUCUUUCCAGCAGCCAGCUCGGCCUGUGUUCCUCUGCUGCUUAAGUAUCCCAUGACUCAUACCAAGCCCUUGGUUCAUCCCUCACCUUUCAGAGUGACUGUCUAAAGUUCAUAUCCAGUCCUUGUUACUUUCAUGUUUAAUGGACUUCUGUGGAUUCCUUUAGGCCGUAGAAUAAAGUCUAAGCUGUUUAGAAUGGCA
rnacentral:lncRNA from 13 species